AACUCAAAUUAAUAGGCCCACGGCGUAAAACGUGUUAAGGAUUAUAAAAAUACUAAAGUUAAAAUUUAACCAGGCCGUAAAAAGCUACUGUUAAUACAAAGUAAACCACGAAAGUGACUUUACCUUCUCCGACAACACGAUAGCUGAGACCCAAACUGGGAUUAGAUACCCCACUAUGCUCAGCCCUAAACAUAAAUAAUUCAUACAACAAAAUUACUUGCCAGAGGACUACUAGCAGCAGCUUAAAACUCAAAGGACUUGGCGGUGCUUUAUAUCCCUCUAGAGGAGCCUGUUCUAUAAUCGAUAAACCCCGAUAGACCUCACCGCUCCUAGCUAAAU
rnacentral:rRNA from 1 species